CCCAGGUUGCAAUCACUAGUCAGCUGAUGACAGGGAGCCUGUCUGCUUCAAUGGCUUGAGCAAUCGCUUGGUGGGAGUGAGCUCAAUCUGCAACUAAUGCAACAGCUGUAGGCACCCUGAUUGAAAACACAGGUCUUUUGAAUGGAUGCAGCUCAUUUAUGUUUUAAUGGGUCGGGUGGCUGAUGUGUGGGAGGGAGGAAAAUGGAAUUAUAGGAUUUGUAGGCAAAGAAGAAAACUCAAACAGGAAAUACCAGUUCACAAAAAGCUAGCCACAGUGUUAUGGUAAUCUCACAACAUAGCCAUUUAGCCCCAAGACAAGCGCAGAUCCUUCCUAAGCAUGUCCAUUACUGUCUGGCAGGUACGUACUAAAAUCACCUUAUGGUGGAUAACCCCUUUAAUUCUUUUAGAAUGCUGUGCAUUUUCAUUUCUUGUGCUUCUCCUUUUAUUUUCUAUAUUAAAUCUCCAUAUUCUGAGCCCUAUAACCAUACCUCCCAACCAUCCCAGAUCCGGCAGGACAUUCCCGCUAUUGGCCCCCAUAUGUCCCGCAUUUAACUGUAAAUGCCUCUUAAUGAGGCGUCUGUAGUUAAAUGCGGUGCUCGGUGGAAGGUUUGACAGAGCCAUUGGCUCCUCACCCUGUCAAUCACUCUUGUGCUCGCUGGCUCAAGUUAGCCAGAGAACACAAGAGGCCAGGCUGAGCUCUUCCUGCUUCUGCGAACGAGUGACUUCAUCAGAUGCCGGAGCACAGAGGAAGAGAAAGGAAGAGCCCAUGCUAAGGAAGCCCCCGCCGCCGGAGCCGCUGGGAAGAGGGUAAAAGAGCCGCAGAAGGCAACUGGAUAUUCAUAUGCUGCAGAGGAGGAAAGGAAUGAAGAAUAUAAUCCUGAAGAAUCUUCUGAUGAGGAAGAUUAUAGUAUUCAACAGGAGACGUAAAGUGACAGUGAGGAGGAAACAGCUGCAACAAUACAUGAAAUAACGCCGAAACGAAAAGCUCUUCUGGAAAGACUAAGAAAAAAGGCAGAACUACAUGGCGAGCUACAUGAGCACUCUUUCCAAAACGAUCCAGAGUGGCCAAGCAUCAAUGACAUCCCAGGUGACAUAGUUACAUAGUUGCAUAGUUACAUAGUUAGUACGGUCGAAAAAAGACAUAUGUCCAUCAAG